AAGGUAGCGAAAUUCCUUGUCAGGUAAGUUCUGACCCGCACGAAUGGCGUAACGAUUUGGGCACUGUCUCAACAGCCCGCCCGGCGAAAUUGUAGUACCGGUGAAGAUGCCGGUUUCCCGCAACUAGACGGAAAGACCCCAUGGAGCUUCACUGUAGCUUGAUAUUGGAUCUCGGUAUUCCAUGUACAGGAUAGGUGGGAGACUUGGAAGUAAGCGCGCCAGCGUUUAUGGAGUCAACCUUGGGAUACCACUCUUGGGAUAUUGGGAUUCUAACCUGCGACCAUGAAUCUGGUCGGGGGACACUGUCAGGUGGGCAGUUUGACUGGGGCGGUCGCCUCCAAAAGAGUAACGGAGGCGCUCAAAGGUUCGUUCAGCACGGAUGGAAAUCGUGCACUGAGUGUAAACGCAUAAACGAGCCUAACUGCGAGAAUGACGGUUCGAGCAGUAACGAAAGUUGGAGUUAGUGAUCCGGCGGUAUGUGAAUGGAAAUGCCGUCGCUCAACGGAUAAAAGCUACCCUGGGGAUAACAGGCUGAUCUCCCCCAAGAGUUCACAUCGACGGGGAGGUUUGGCACCUCGAUGUCGGCUCAUCGCAUCCUGGGGCUGAAGUAGGUCCCAAGGGUUGGGCUGUUCGCCCAUUAAAGCGGUACGCGAGCUGGGUUCAGAACGUCGUGAGACAGUUCGGUCCCUAUCUGUUGCGGGCGUAGGAAUAUUGAGAGGAGCUGUCCUUAGUACGAGAGGACCGGGAUGGACGUACCGCUGGUGCACCAGUUGUUCUGCCAAGGGCAUAGCUGGGUAGCUAAGUACGGACGAGAUAAACGCUGAAGGCAUCUAAGCGUGAAACUCCCCUCGAGAUAAGUGUUCCCAUCCUUCGGGAGUAAGGCCCCUUGUAGACUACAAGGUUGAUAGGUCAGGAGUGGAAGUGCAGUAAUGUAUGGAGCGGACUGAUACUAAUAGGCCGAGGGCUUGACCUU
rnacentral:rRNA from 1 species